rnacentral:rRNA from 1 species
UACGUAGGGUGCAAGCGUUGUCCGGAAUUAUUGGGCGUAAAGAGCUCGUAGGCGGUUUGUCGCGUCUGCUGUGAAAACCCGAGGCUCAACCUCGGGCCUGCAGUGGGUACGGGCAGACUAGAGUGCGGUAGGGGAGAUUGGAAUUCCGGGUGUAGCGGUGGAAUGCGCAGAUAUCAGGAGGAACACCAAUGGCGAAGGCAGAUCUCUGGGCCGUAACUGACGCUGAGGAGCGAAAGCAUGGGGAGCGAACAGG